UACGUAGGGACCAAGCGUUGUUCGGAUUUACUGGGCGUAAAGGGCGCGUAGGCGGCGUGGUAAGUCACUUGUGAAAUCUCCGAGCUUAACUCGGAACGGUCAAGUGAUACUGCUGUGCUAGAGUGCAGAAGGGCAAUCGGAAUUCUUGGUGUAGCGGUGAAAUGCGUAGAUAUCAAGAGGAACACCUGAGGUGAAGACGGGUUGCUGGGCUGACACUGACGCUGAGGCGCGAAAGCUAGGGUAGCAAACGGG
rnacentral:rRNA from 1 species